AACGAACGCUGGCGGCAGGCUUAACACAUGCAAGUCGAACGCAUCCUUCGGGGUGAGUGGCAGACGGGUGAGUAACGCGUGGGAACGUGCCCUUCAGUUCGGGAUAACCCAGGGAAACUUGGGCUAAUACCGGAUACGUGCGAGAGCAGAAAGAUUUAUCGCUGAAGGAUCGGCCCGCGUCUGAUUAGCUAGUUGGGGGGGUAAUGGCCCACCAAGGCGACGAUCAGUAGCUGGUCUGAGAGGAUGAUCAGCCACAUUGGGACUGAGAAACGGCCCAAACUCCUACGGGAGGCAGCAGUGGGGAAUAUUGGACAAUGGGCGCAAGCCUGAUCCAGCCAUGCCGCGUGGGUGAUGAAGGCCUUAGGGUUGUAAAGCUCUUUCGUCCGGGACGAUAAUGACGGUACCGGAAGAAGAAGCCCCGGCUAACUUCGUGCCAGCAGCCGCCGUAACAC
rnacentral:rRNA from 1 species